AAGGAUUUUCAACGGAACCAGGAAGUCAACCUUACCAUGAUUCGGAUCUGAAUUCAGGCUUCAAUAAGAUCCGACUUUGGAGUUUUGAGCCCAUUACCUGACACCAUACAUCCCCCCCCCCCUCUCUCUCUCUAUAUAUAUAUAGAUAUAUAUAUAUAUAUAUAUAUAUAUAUAUAUUAUGUAAGAAUACAUCUCCAACGAUAAUGUGGGACCCAACGGGGAGCCACCUGGCCGCCCACAAUAUUUCUUUACAUAGACAGCCGCCACGUCCCAUAUCUGGAGGCAAGCUGACAGCAGACAAACCCUGAGUGGACCCGCCAUCUGGAUUCCCUACUCUAUUCAUCUUCCUCGUACGGUCGAGCUAGCCGUUAGAUAUUCAGGUGGGUCCGGAACGGAGACGCGCCGCCAUUUUACCGCCCUGCCUUUCUUUAAUCGGAAGAUUCUCAGUGGGCAGCAGCGUCACCAAAAGAGAGCAUAAAAAGAAUUAGAGUUCCGGGCAUGCCGACGGCGGGAAGCAGAGAGGAGAAAGAAUGGAAGGUGCUGCUAUUCAUCUGAUGACAUCAAAACGGAUGGCGACGAUCACUUCUCUCUCUCUCUCUCUCUCUCUCUNNNNNNNNNNNNNNNNNNNNNNNNNNNNNNNNNNNNNNNNNNNNNNNNNNNNNNNNNNNNNNNNNNNNNNNNNNNNNNNNNNNNNNNNNNNNNNNNNNNNNNNNNNNNNNNNNNNNNNNNNNNNNNNNNNNNNNNNNNNNNNNNNNNNNNNNNNNNNNNNNNNNNNNNNNNNNNNNNNNNNNNNNNNNNNNNNNNNNNNNNNNNNNNNNNNNNNNNNNNNNNNNNNNNNNNNNNNNNNNNNNNNNNNNNNNNNNNNNNNNNNNNNNNNNNNNNNNNNNNNNNNNNNNNNNNNNNNNNNNNNNNNNNNNNNNNNNNNNNNNNNNNNNNNNNNNNNNNNNNNNNNNNAUCUCAUCGGUACCUCAGAAGGGGAGGGCGGGAAAGGUACCCAUUUGAAAACGAGGACACCCGCGUGGAAGAAGCCAUCUUCAGAGUCGUCGCCUCCCCCCCCCUUCCUCGUCCCUCUCACGGCGGCGGCGGCAGCGGUGGCGGCGGCGGAGAGGAAAAGAAUCAGCCGGCGGAGGGGGGGCGAGGGCUUAGAGAGAGAGACAGGUCAACCCGUCGGGUUGACUUCCGGGCAUCAUCGGCAGGGCGGCCACGUAUCUCUGGGGAUAUAUCCUCCGGGGGGUGGCGGCGGCCGCCGCCUCGGAGGUCGUCGGCGAGCUCUCGACUCCUCCGGGUUGACCCCGGCUGUGGAACCUAGCGAAGCGGUUGACCAUGGAGAACCUCUCCAGAUCCUGGCACUCGACUCUCGUGUCCGGAACCGAAGCCCCACUCUCCAACCUGCAGCAUCAAAUAAAUGGAGGGCGGUAGAGUCUCAGGCGGAGGAGGGCACACUGAACCAGAUGAAGAAUCUCGGGCUCCUCGUACCUUGACAGAUCGCCUUCCAUCUUCCUCGCUCUGGCGAUGAAGUCCUCUGCAACUUUCGAGAAAAACCCGUCUCUGUCCCUUUCUGAGGUCUCAAGUCUCUCAGACGCCCUGGACAGAUCCAAGAGGGUGGACCUUAGCUACUCAAAGGGGAGGAUGAUGAUGAUGAUGAUGGUGAUGGUGGUGAUGAUGAUGAUCAUGAUGAUGAUGUCCAAUGGCAUAGAGAUAUGAUCCAGCACUUACAGAUCAGCGCCGCUUGAUGGAACAGAGGAGUCCCUUCUUGAGCUUGAGAUGCCACCGCAUGCACGCCCCAGAGCCAGUCUAGCAGCAAGGUACGUCACACUGUCCUGAUGUAAGUUGGCAUCCGAGCAAAGGAUUUUCAUGGGCACAGCAGGAAGCAGCAGCUGCAUCAGCUGAGUCGUCAAUAUAAGUCUUCUACGGGCCCGGGGCCCAUAGAGUGUAUCCUCACCCAUGUCAACUUCAUCGUCAACCUGUUUGAAAAAAAAAAUAAUUCCAAAACCAUCCUCUUAAAAAAAAGGCCUAUACGGCGCAUGAAAAGCCAAAAAUAAUUCCCCACUGCUUGAAAAAAAACAAAAGGCUUAUGGCAAACCUUGUCAAUCAAUCUAUUUGCAGCAUGUGCCCAGCUGACUUCGGCCAUACUGUCAACAGGAAAACUUAGGAAUUUAGAUCGAAAUAAAUAAAUAAACCUUAGGAUGAAAUGACAUUAAAACGGUUCUUCAAGAAACAUUUUAAGGGCAUGGAAAAGGGCCAAAGACAAGUAGAAAACUGGCUCUAUUUCUGUAUAAGACUACCUGACACUCGGCAGCCUGGCAGAUACGUGCGUGAUUUCUUUGUGCCAAGGUAAACGUUCCGACAAUACAGUUUUAUGCCUCUUUGGUCUUUGGACCAAAUCAUGAUCAACAGAAUCCGCAGGUGAGUGAAAGGGAGGAGGAUGCUCGUCGGCAGCAGCAGAGAAACUCUUUCUCCAAACAGAUUCAACCUGAUCAGAAUCAUUUAUUUUCCCGGCAGAACUAGGCACAUCUGCGCUGUUGGAAACGUUUGGAAAGGACAAACGCUGGACAGCAGCUCCUGCAGUUUUCUGAUCACUCAAUGAAUUGUACAUGGAUAGGACCUGCUCAUUUUUCAAGUUUUCAUACUGAUCAAACCAUGACGGCGCCAUCUGAGGAUCAAUCCGGGAUUGUGAGAUUCCUGUUAAUGGAGAUGAGUUGGAGGUAACAUUAAGACCGCGAGGUUGAUUCUGAGGAUCAUUAGGCCUGAUACCAGUCAAAACCUGAGAUUGCACCUCUUUCCUAAUAACUUGAGAAGGCCCAAUCCCACUCUCGUUGGCACUGGCCUCUGAUGAGAAACAUAACAUCUUGGCAUCAGAUGGAAACGGACUUGGACUACCACUUAAACUUAACUCCUUAUACGAGGGAACCCUGGCUACAGUAUUAUAUCCGUAGAUUAAUGUCUGAGGUGUUUUCCCAGCCAUUUGCUGAGCAUCAGGAGCAGAAUCUGAUGCUUUCAGCCUCUUCCCAAGCCGUUUGCUGGGGUCCGACUCAAUUGCCUUCAUUGCCUGCACCUGUUGCAGAAGAGAGUAAUUUGGAUGCUGCCCAUCAGAUGGUUUUAAACGAUGGCCGGGAGAACCGAUCUCACGGCCAGAAGAGGCGAUAUUCAACAGCGAAGAAUGGGUCGGUUGCUUUUCAAGGUGUGAACCUUGCUCGAGCUUUGGCCUACCAACGUCUUGCUGGUAUAACUGUACAAAGGACGGAAUGGCCAAAGAAGAGCUUCCAACAGCAGAAUGCUUUGAUGAAGAUUCUCCCACUUGAGGAGCACCAGAUCCUUGCGGAGAAGCAUCCGACCUCCCGGAAAGAAUUUGGCGCACAGAAUUCUCUUUACAAGUCUGUUGAUCCCCCACGGUACUGUGUUGAGAAUCUAUCGAACAGGCAGCAGUGCUUUGUCCUUUCUGACUCCCUCGAUCGUCUGACCUAUUUGACAACCAGGGGCUUGUAUCCAAAGGGCUAGAGCGGACAGGCUGAGAUAAAUUUGGGUUUGGCUUGUCAGAGAGGUUGCCAGGUAAGCGCCGCUGAGCAGAUACAUUUGUCCACACGUUGUGCAGCAUAGCUGAGAAUGCUCCCUGUUGGGACACACCAGGUCUAACUGAAGGUUGUGAAACUGACCGUAUACCCAACCCGGGUAUUGAGCUUCUCAGAUGAGAAGCGGCCGUGCUUGUUGCUGGAGGUUGGCCCAUGUCUCCGGAAUAUGGAUGGAUCGAAGGAGCUUGGCGAGUAUCAGAUGGGCAAGGUAGCCUGGAAGGUGCAACCUGACUGGCUACACCAGGUAACAAUACCUGGCUAGAUCGAUUUGCUAAAGCUUCACCAUGUAUGUCUCUGCCAUGCGAACCAUUUGCCAGUUUGCCAUCUGAAGGAUCUUUAGCGUGUUCAUCGGGGUCAAUCUGAUUACGAAAAGCCAUGUUCACCGACUGUUCUGUUGUGAAAUGUCCACUAGAAGCAGAGAGCUGGUGUUGCUGUUGUUGCUGCUGUUGCAGUUGUUGAGAGUCGUGUGGGAAGAAACGGGGGCUAGAAGAAGUAAUCGAUGCCGUGUGAGAAUUUUCCUUGCUAGGUUGGUCAGAUGAGUGAGACAUAUUAUCCAACGUUUCCCUCUGAGGAGUUUCAUGCACCAUGGUCAGAGAUCGAACAGAAACAGAUGCAGUUGGAUACAUCUGGUUUUUCUCUCCUUGCACAGCUGAAUCGAAAUGCCUUGAACUAUGAUCUAGAACAGCUUUUGACAGGAUUGUCUGAUGUUGUGAUGGAAGGGACAAGUGUAAGCCAAUCCCUUGUAAAGUGGAAGGCUGUUGUGAAGUAGAUGGCAUACCAGAAGCAGCAUCAGACCUCUCAGACAUCAUAUUACGAUUGGAAAAACCAUGACUAGGGAUGGAGGUGUUAUCCCUUGAUUGGUCCACCUUGUGUAGCAGUUCGAGCAUAUUUUGGCUGCAGAGAUCAGAUUCAAAACUAAUGUCAAAGGAUCUCACUUGUUGCAGAAGAAACAUGGAAUUUCGUCAUCACAAACACCAAGCCGGAGACAACGAGAAUGCAAAUGGUAAAUUCUUGAAACAACUGGUCGCCAACCCAGGGGGGACCUUAAGGACGGGUAUGAAGGAAAAUGAUUAAGUCUCGACUAUAGAUUGCAUAAAAACAAAAAAGCUAAAAGAAAUUUGAAUUUUAAAAUAAAAUAUGGUGAAAAUCCGAUGCAUCACCUUGUCUGACCACUCCUGUUUUGAGCAAAAAAUGCUGCAGAUUCAUCAAAUGAAUCAGGAAUGUUAGAAUCACGACUGAAGUUAUUUCCACCUGGAUGUCCCUUCUCAGUUCCCUUUACAUUUCCUUGGGAAUCAAACAAGUUCUGCAGGAAAGAAGAAUAGCUUUGACCACAUACCAAAAAACAAAUUAACCAUGAAAAAUAAUCCACAGAUAAAUAUUUAUACAGUCAUCGUCAAAAUCAUAGAAAUACCAUUUACCUUCUCUACAUCCCUUGUGCUGUUAGAUGCAGAACGACCAGCAAACUGCGAUGACCUGAUAUAUCCUUGCUCCUGAUUAUUCAGUCCAUGAGGUGGCAUAUGGGACAUUCCCUGUACAUAAAAGUUACGUUUUGGGGUAUCAGGUUCUGCAUUAUCCCCGAAAUUUCCCAUCGGGUGGAAUUGAAACCUCCUAGGACCUGAAGCACUUGGACCAAUGUGGGCUGAGGUAUUUCCACUGCCACUAGCAGGACGUGAUGGAACUGCGAAAGGUGUGGAAGCUUUAGCUCUCCCCAAUAAUCCGGAAUCAAUACCCUCACCAGAAUGUGAAUUAGUAGAGAUGUAAUCCUCAUCAGAUACCUCUUUUUGGACAUCCUUCUCCUUUCUUCUAUCAUAAACUUCAGCAGAUGCUUUACUGGGGACGUUCAUAGAUGAUUCCCACACCUGAGAACUGUUAUUUACCGCAUUCUGGUAGUUUCCCACAUCCUCGUUCCCUUUCGAUUUUCCAGAAUAAUCAGAUGACACAUGCAAACCGUAAUCAGACUGAUGCGCUGUAAGAGAUCGUUGAUUCAUAUCCUGAGUUGAUUUAGAAUUAUAUAAAUUAACCCCAGCAAAGGUACCCAUGUGUAGAUCCCCAGUUUGCACCUGGGUAAUACCCAUUUCGGAUUUUUCCAAGCUAAAACCACCAGUCGAGCGGGAAAUAGGAGCAGACUUUAGAUUUCCAUCAGUUUUUCCCACAUUUCCAUCUUGUUCCUUUCUUAUAUGCAUGGCUGCUGUAGGACUACUCGCUUUGGACUGCUGUGCGGCACUUUCAAGAUCUUGAACUUUUAAGACAGCAUUUCCACUCGAUUCAUUUAUUCUCCAACCAUUCAUCUUAUUGUACAAUUGUGUACCAAUAUUGUACGAGGGCAUAUUAUGUUGCUGAGCCCAGAUGUCCUGCAUGUUCAGUGGAUUUAACCUCGUUUCUACUGGCACAGUGCUUGCUGGUUGCUCACAUAAUUGACCAGUCCAAGUACCAGAUGAGGUAUCUCCAAAAUGCAUUUGUGGUUCACUGCCCGCAUGAAACUGGGAAAGAAGUUGACUCUUAUCUACGCGACUGUUGGCAUCCUUAGAUGACUGUUGAAGACACUGAUGAGAGACAUCUGCAUGCAAUUCACCAUCACGAUCGUACACGGACUUAAAAGAAGAUUGAUGGAACAUAGCAGCAGCUUGAUCGUGCGAACUCACAUCCGCGUCAUCAAAUAAAGGGAAAGGUCUAGGAGGUAAAGAAGAUUCACUCUGCAAGUUUUCAAUCAAACUAGUUUGUUGCUUCCCAUAGUCUACAAACAUUGCAGGACUGUUCCCACUGGAGUGUUCUUUUUGUUGAAAGCUCAAGCCAUUCCACUCGUGCUGCAAUCCAGUGUCACCGCUAGAAGUUUCAGCCACAGCUGACUGCAUGAGUGCACUCCAGCUACCACUCUGUAGAGAUGGAAAUACAUUAAAACUAUUAUUACCAUCUAGAAGAUUUCUGCACGGUGCUCCAGAAUCAAUAUUACCACUACCAAAUGACGCGUCCCAAGUACUAUCUUCGUCUGCGCUAAACAAAAGUUUCUGCUCUGUUGCGUCCAAUUUAACCAGUUCCUGACCCCCAACCUUUGUUGUUUUCUCACGUGAACUUCCUGUCCAAUCUGCUCGUUCCUGGCUACCUCUAAAAUUCUGAACUUGAAUAUUUCUUCCAAGGCUGUCCAACUGCUCAAAAUUCUCAGACAUGUUUCCGCUUCUUACAUUAUGAACGGGAAGCUGGUAAAACGAAGCUUUUCCUGGGAACCUCUGAUUAGCAGUAGGAUCAUCUUGCACAUUUAUUUGCCCCUGAAAUAAACCUUGAUCACUUUGGAAAGAAUUAAAGGUACUGAACUGCAUAGGCAGUUUGUCAAGUUGGUUACCAACUGAUCUAGUCAUUGCGUCAGCACCAUCAUUAGAUACAACUUGGAAGCUGGAAAACUGAUUCGAUGAGGUUUUAUUGCCAGAAAUAGGCGUACCAUAUAAAUACUGGUCGCCUUCUUGUGGAGGAUGUCCAGUUGACUGCAAUACCUGCCCCUGGUCCUGUGGAUACACAACUCCAUUUGACAGCCUAUGAGCACUUGUACCCCCCAAACUCUGAGUCCAGUUCAUGUUUCCAGAAGCAUACAUUUGUGAACUGCCUGACGUCCUUGAUUCACAUCCCGUACUCUCAUUUUGCCAUGCGUAUUUAGGUGCAUCCAAAAUGGGCGUGCCAUUUACUACAGGGGGUAACUGAUCAAGAGAUGCCUGCUUCGGAAGAGAAGAAAACUGGUUUGGUGAAUUCUGCUGCCAUGCCUCCUGGUCCAACUGAUGAAACUGUUGCUGCCUCUGAAACUCUUGGAGCUGUCUGUACAUUAACUGCUGUUGAUACAGCUGCAUAUCAUUGUAACCAGAUUGCUGUUUUGACCAAGGUUGUGACGUGCCUGGUUGCCCUUUCAUGAGUGGUGAUUUAAGAGCAAGAAAUUCGAAAUCAGGAAAAGUUUCAGAAAUGCUGGCUUUGUGGAACCUCUCAUAAUGUUAGCAUUGCAUCCAAGUAAACUUCCUUGAUUUAAUUCAGUCGAAUCUAAGCCCGCAUUUCUUAAACUAUGCCUAUCAGGCAUUGUCUUUUCUUCCAGAUUCCCCAACUCAUUAACUUUUAAUUGAAGAUCAAAGAAUUGUACAAAACCCUUCCAAAUGUGAAGAAUUUGCACACAUUCAGAUCCCAAAGUUGACUGAAUUAGAAUGCAACCAACAAACUUGAGAAGAUCGCCUGCUAUUUUCUCCCUGGCGGUCUGUUGAUCAUAAAUUCAAAUAGAUAAGUUAACUGAGAAAGCAUACACGUAAGCAGUUCAUCCAAAUUAGCAGAACGUGACUUGUGGCCAAAAACGUAUCAUCAGCUCAUUGUCAGAAAUCAUCAUAAACACCGAAAGGUAAAGCCUAAAAGAGAGAAACUAGGCCACCCGACUAUCAUUAAUCACUGCCUUCCUUAGAUUUACAACAAGAGACAGUCUUCAGUGCAACCACAAUCUUUUUUUUCAUAGAUAUUGUGGACUUUUUUGCUCCUUGUCGCUGGACUAAGUACAUCCAUACGAGUCCACGGCAUAAAAUUUUUUGAAGGAACGAUAAAAAUGAUAAAAGUUUGUUUUCAAGUACAAUCAGUGCGACUGGAAAAAUGAAUUGGGAACCAAAUUUCUGUAUUAAGAAAAUAGUGAUAUGAGGUGGGAUGGAUUGUAUGUGCUCUGCCAUUCAUGAAGUUUACCCCUGGAAUAGAGAAGGGUGAUCGAAGGGGGGACAAAAGAAAGAAUAUUGAUAUAAAGACAUAAAUUAAAAAAUGUAGAGAGCAACAACGUGGGGAUUCUAGAGAUAAUUUGGUACCAUGAAAAAUAACAAAUCCAAGAGGAUAGAAAUAAAAGCAUCAAAGAGUACUUGAAGAAAAUGUCCAGGCAAAUGACACCAAAGAAGCCUGAGUUCCAUUUAAGCUCGAGAUUUCUCACAUUACUCUCUUCCCAUACGUGAAAAUAGAACUGGACAGAAUUAAACUGCCUCCCUUGUUAGCGAACAGAAACGAGAAGAUAUCUCGGAAAGAAAGGGUGAACCCAGAAAACAGUCACACACUGGAAGCUUUGUUCUAGUACACAUUCAUCUCCUGAAUUUCAAGUUUACAGAAUCCCAAGAUAAUUUUAACUAGUGCAUACACAUUCGGGGUUCAUAAAAAUGUACAAUAUAAAAGGAGGAAUUUUUUUGGAUUGAAGGGCAAAAAAAUAGAAAAACAGAUUGUUUACGGAACUGGGACAUGUAAAUAUAAGGUAUCAACUGUUAGAUGAGAAAGAAAUAUGAUAGUGAAUGGAAAAAAACAUAUACUAGAUAACACCAUCAGAGUUAAAUCCAAAAAAAAUGGGGAAACGAUCCUUCUUGAACAUCCCCCCCCCUCAAAGUGAUGAUACACGAGCAGAAAAAUUUCUAGGAUACGAAAGAUAAAACUCUAGUAGAUCUGCCUAUUUCUGAGACUCAAUUAUAAGCGUACGGAACUCAAAUGAAGCAAAAUGCAAAUCGUGUUGGAGGGACAAGAAUGAAAUCCAUACCCGGAUAUCUACAAGAACAUCUCCGAGCACAACGCUAGAACACAGCCCACUUACCUUGAGCAAGUAGAUACAGGCAAAUGCUCAAGGCGAAAACUACAUAAUUUUAAGAAACACGUCCUGUCUGAGAAAUCACUACAUACCCUACGGAUAGUAACUCCGCGAGAUCUCCACUUAUGUUUUCUCUCUACAACGUGAGAUUAUGGUUGGAGAGGAGGUAAAAAAAUGAUACACAGUUCGCCAAACGAGGCCCUGAACCAGGAAUCUAAGUACUCCACUGGAAUCCAAAAUGCAGGAGAUUGAUCAAUAAGUCACUCUUCUACUGAAAUUUUCAGAAUCGUCUCGAAAUGGGGGAAAUUAUUGAUUAAUGUACCAAAUUAGGCCACAAGGACCCAACCCGAUCGGAAAAAAAACAAGAAAAUGGGGUCAACAAAGUAGAGAACCUGACCAGGCGCCCUCAGCCGGAAAGGGCGACGAAAAUUAGGCACCUAGGGAACCUGACAAGGGACUAAAGCUUACCGGAUCGACGAAGGCUCCCCGAAAUGGCGAUCGGAGCAGAUUAGGGUUAGGUGUACACCCCUGCGCACGAAGUUGCAGCUGGUAUCAAGCUACCAGAGCCUUAGGGCUACGCAAAAAAGCACGAAGCGGGGAAGGAAGAGGUGAGCUAUUUUUGUAUUUAAAUUUUUUAUAAUUUUCCAUUAUUCCCAUCGGGGAUGUAGCUCAAAUGGUAGAGCGCUCGCUUUGCAUGCGAGAGGCACGGGGUUCGAUCCCCCGCAUCUCCACCUCUACACGAGCAUAUCAAUUUUUUUCCUCUCACUUUGUGAAGAGUCAAAAAUACCCCACAUUUAUGAGGGGUAUUUAAGAGAAUGCAAUAGAGUCCACUGAUAUACGCAAUUGAUCCCCUCCUUCCCUGCUCGACGGCACCCGCCUCCGAUGAUCAUUUCGAAAUACAUCGUCUUCUCCCGCUACGUUCUCCGAGCACGCCACCUCUCGAGCUCGUCCUCCUCCGGCCCAGUCGAUCCCUCCACCCUCCUCCGAGUAUGCACGGUCCUCUUCCAGCAGCAGAACUCCAGCGACGAGCGCCUCCACGCCUGCCUCCGCGCCAUCGACUUCGACCUCUCGCACGAGUUCUUCCUCCAGAUCUGCAGCCGGUUCCCGUGCUCGUGGCGCCCCGUCCUCCGCUUCUUCCGCUAUGCUGAUCGGUGCUCCACGGAUCCCCGCAGCCGGCACUCUUUUUCCCUCACCCCCGUGGCCGUCAACAAGAUGAUCGACGUCCUUGGCAAGUCCAAGAACAUCCAGCUCCUGUGGGACUUCCUCGGUGAGAUGGCCCCCAGGCAGGGGCUGGUGAAUCUUAGGAGUAUGCAGCUGGCCGUGCGGGCCUUCGCCCAGGGGAGGCAGAUCAAGAAGUGCGUCGGCGUCUUCCACCUCUUUCACUCCCAAGGGCCGUCCCUCUCCACUGUGAGCACGCUCAACGCAGUGAUCUCCGAGCUCUGCUCUCGCCGGCUCGUCGACGAAGCCAAGGACGUCGUCACCAGGCUGAAGGCUUCGAUAAGACCUGACGGCACCACGUACAGCCUCCUGGUCGUCGGAUUCUGCCGGGCGGGGGACCUUGUUAGCGCAUCCAAGGUCUGGAACGCCAUAUCUGAUGAUCGACUAGAGCCGGAGAUCGCUGCGUACAACGAGAUGAUCGCGACAUUCUUCAAAUUCAAUAGAUCCGGAGAGGCCAUGGCUAUUUUCGAGUGCAUGAGAAGUGAAAAGAUGAGCGAUCUGGACCUCUCGAUCUACAGGACAGUGAUCUCGUGGCUGUGCAAGGAAGGGAAGAUAGAACGACCUCUGAUGCUGGUGGCGGAGAUGCUGAAAAGAGGGGUCGGAGUUGACGGUCCCACACUUGGGGCCCUAGCCUACGGUCUCCUCUGCAGGAAGAGGAUCAGCGAAGGUUACAAAGUCCUGCUAGUGACGGGGGGCGCGCCCGAUAUCAGUAUGUACCACGGCCUCAUCAAGGGCCUCCUUCGGCUGAGGCGAGCGAGGGAGGCCACCCAGGUGUUCAGGGAAAUGACUCAAAGAGGAAUUCAACCCUCCAUGCACACGUAUAUCAUGCUUCUGCAGGGUCUUCUAGGACGAAGAGGAAGGAAGGCCGCCGACCCUGCGGUCAAUUUCGACACUAUAUUCGUCGGUGGCAUGGUGAAGAUGGGGCGGAUGCUGGACGCCACCAAGUAUGUCGAGAGGUCGAUGAAUGGCGGCACGGAGGUCCCCAGGUUCGACUACAACAAAUUCCUUCGAGACUUCUCAAAUGAAGGCGGAGUUGUGAUGUUCGAGCAGGUAGGGAGGAGAUUGAAGGAGACGGGGAUGGUGGAUCUUGGCGACGUUUUCUUGAGUUAUGGGGAGAAAAUGGCGACCAGAGACAGGAGGAGAGGUGCUCCUCCUGUGGACAAUGAGCCCGACUUGGACUAGGUAGUUGGGGCCAUUGACUUUCUCGGAAACAUAAGUGAUGGGGAUUCUCUCGUUCUACUGCCACACUAGAGGUGUUUGAUACAAUGCCAACGACAGAUUCUCGAUGGGGCGGUAACCCAUCUAUCAUCCUGCUCGAAGGGCACGCGCAGCCGGGCCCAGCGAAGACUCCUUCUGGUCGGCAUUUGCGGGGGACUCCUUUGACUGUCUCCGUUGACUUCUCAUAGACCUUCACGUUACACGGCUUGUGUCAACGUACAGCAAACCUCUCAGUGGAGGCUGCUGAGCCAUUAAGAGGGCGGGAGCCUAAAAUUCCCCGCUUCACUGCCAAAACCCAGCAGAGCCCAACCCCGCCCCGCCUACUCACCCAGCCAGGCCAAUUGACAUACUCUGAUCAGUCCGAUUUCUAUCUUCUCAUUACUGCACUCCCAAGCUUCAUCGACUCAAUUCAAGUAGCUUCCAUGCGACACAUCUUAUCGUGAUCAAUCACUUAUUUGUUGCACUUUUUAAGCAAUGCACCUACUAACUUGAAGAUCUAUCCCUCUCAAGUCGUUGUGUUAGCAGGUCAAUAACACUAGUAGCUGUAUUCAUCGGGGAUCUUACUCGGCUGGUUAAGGUUCAAGGAUUGCCGGAGCCCUUUGUACCGAAUGGCAAGACCAAGGAGACAGAAAUGAAAUAGGACGCACGAGGGUGCUACCCUCAUCCCAUGAUCAUCGUCUGGCGGUCCAUCAUCAAGCGCAGAUUGCAGCACCCCAUUUUAAUGCUCCAAACGUGCGUUCGGAUUCAACAUGAAACUGCAAGUAAAGAAGUUGCCCGAUCUGCCUCUCGAAGUAUCCUGAAUUUCCUGGACUGCUACCCCCGAGGAAGUCAGAACCGACCACGACGCAAUGAUGAUAUACACAGAAGAAAGUCAAGCAUCGUUUGGAAAGUCAGCGAGGCGGAAAUAUCUUUAAAAGCGCGAACUUUGCCGCCGUCGUGCUUAUUACCAUGUGAAGAUUGGAGGUGAGGCCAUCCGCAGCCAGUCUGCGAGUAAACCAGCAGCACUAAGCACUGUGGGUGGGUCAACUAAUUCUUCAGAAACACAGAAUGAAGUGCAGAAGCGCACCUCAGGCAUUGUCCAUGCUAUAAUCAAGGUUGAAGAGCAUCUCCCUCCGGAACUCGCUGCCUAGCCUGUAACUAAGCUUUCUCGCCAGUGAUUCCACCUGAUCAUUACUGUCAAAGUCCAGCUCCCUCACACAUCGCCGCCGGACCUUCCUGAGGAUUUCCUUAUCAGGGACAAAACCAGCCUCCACCUGCACCAAGAAAUAUCAUAUUACUUAUAUGCCCCCCCUAUCAUUGAACAAGAAGUGAUGAUGGAGGAAAUUCAAACCAUCUCAUCGAUCACAGCGAGUGCGGCUUUCUGAUCCUUGUUCACCAAAUGGGCAUUGACAAGCAGCAGAUAUGUUGUAGAAUUUGGCUUCACACCGAGACCCGUCAUGUGUUCGAAGACCCUCGAAGCCUCAAACGUCUGUACGCCAUCAAAACACAGCCGAUGAGCUCAAAAUCGGAAAUGGGAAACAAAAGCCCCAUGAAAAUCACCAUCAUAUGCCGUCCAAAUGCGUCCUAGAGCAAGCGCUGACCUUCUUGAGCUUUCCAAAGGCACUCAUCAGAGCAUUGUAGGAAUGGAUGUCAGGUGUCAACCCGAAAGCGCCUGAGAUAGCCUCAAAAGUCUGGUAUGCGCGGUCGAGGUCCCAUAUGUUCCCGCAACCUAAUAUGACACAAUUUAGAGCGGCGACCGAUUUGUAAGGCUGGUCGGCACGGCUUAAGUUUUCUAGCUGGAAAUAGACCUGAGAUUUUUACAAUACAGCUGAUAUUAGCAUAAAUUUAUGAACACCGCAGCAUAGAAUGAUCACCCUUCAAAGAACAAGAUUGGAGACUAGCUUACUGUGUCCAGAGUGGCAAAGCCAUUCUUGCAGCAUGCAACGACCAACGGAUGCAGGGAUGUGAACGGAGAGAAGAGAUCCUCUGUUCCAGGAGACUGCCCGUAUGCUGCUUCAAAUUCAUUCAGGGUACUGAAAGCCCGCUGAAGGUUUCCCAAAGAGGCAUGCGCGUGGAUUUUUCCAAGGUAAGAUUCUGGCGUUGGCAGCCUUUUACCGCGCAAGGAACGCUUAAGGAUCGACCAAGAGGCAUCCAAGAGAGAGGAACUAUACGUCCUAGCUGCAACACCAAGCGCCGAGACUACCAACCCUUCAUCUGCAGAGAGGAGAACGGGCGGCCUGGCGUUCUCCCCUCGGACGAUCCAUCGGGCCAGGAACUCCAGAGCGAAGUAGCUUAGUUUACUGUGGUCAGCCUGAAAGGCGACGUCUGCAACGUAGUUGCACAUAGCCCAGGGAGGGCAAAGAGCCUUGUUCUGAUCCAUGGUCUAGAAAUGGACAUAUUUCCAUAUGAGUAGGUCCCCUUAACAGAAAGAGAUGGAAAAAUGAAAAGGCAUCUGACUGACUGCGAAGACAGAGUAAAAGCCGAAGUGGGUCAGAGCCCAAGAUGGUCAAAGGAGGUUGGGAAAUUGGGGUGGUUCAAUGGAGCAAAUACAAAGUCAACUUUGAUUUACUAAACAGGGGUAGCUGAAAGAAGUAAAUAAAUACCUUGCAUUUCUCUAUCACAGAUGUCAACGCGUCCAAUUUUCCGGCACUUAUGCAGCUCCGCACACAGGUCGUGAACACAUUGAUCGACAACACAUUACCAUUUUUCAGUGCAAGAUCUACGUAUUUCAACGCCGAAUCAAUCUGAUUCACCGAGAGCAGCAACCCAGUGACCAAGUUAUAAGAUUCGUCGUCGGGGAAGGAGCUGGUCCCUGUCUGCAGCAUCCUGACGUCAAUAAAUAGAGAAUUCAUCAUAGAAGCGGACGGCAUGAUUCGGCAUUUUCAGCGAGAAUAAAGUUGAUCAGAAAACCAUAUGUUCUUCGCUCUCAAUGGCAGCAGAGACCCGCCGUCGGGUAGAAAGAACACAACAAGCAGAGAUGGCACGAGAUUACAUCCACCAUUAGAUUGAAGUUUGAGCAUUCCAACUUCACAAUAAGGGAUCACGGACAGAUAUAAAGCAGACAAAGCUUGCAGCCCAUCUGUCCCAGCGAUGAUGAAAACGCAGACAUGAUCAAAGUACAGGAGUAUGUUUUAAAGUUCUCCGCAGACAUGAUCAGCUGAAUACGAAUUCUGAGGAAUUUACUAGCUAGAAGCCCCAGAAUGAAACAGAGAGAUGUUCUCAGAUAUCUCUGAUUUUAAAAGAUCAGAUGCCUUUACGAUCAAACAGAACGAGCAGAUUUCAUCUGGUGCAUGAAAGACAGGAAGAGGGUAGGUUGGAAAGAAUUUGCAGGAGCUCAAAGCGACAUUCGAUGGAGUGAGAGGGAUUCGUGACGAUCGAGUCCUCAAAAAAGCAAACGGAACGAACUGACCAUCUUCCAUUCAAAAGAGAAGCUCCUUUUCUGGCUCUCGUCUAUCGUUCUGAUGAUGUGAGAAAAUGGGAGCGGGCACCUCAGAUGGAUACCGAAGACCGGGCCAAGGAAGAGGUUCCCUCACCGAUCAAGCAGCUUCUGCGCAGCUUCGCUCUCUCCAGUCUUACACAUGGCUUUGAUGACGAGGUUGUAGGAGGCCGUAUUGGGCGAGACCUCGUACUCCUCCAUCUGCGCCACGAGGUCCAGGAGCUCCCCGGCAGAGGCGUCCAGCAUGAAGUUGGCUCUGAGAUAGUUGUUGAACAGGUCCACGUCGGGCCUGUUGGGCUUGCCAUUGGCGUCCAGCGUCCGGAUCCAGAACUCGAACAGCUGCCUCAUGUCCGACCACCUCUGCGUGGCCGUCCAGUCCGCGAACACGUUCAUCAGGCUCUCGGCGUCGAGCGUCUGCGAAAAGGCCUGGAUCUUCGCGGAGCUUGUAGAGGCUGAGGAAAGCCCCAUCCCCACGGGAACGAGGAAGGAGCCCGAUGCGCCGAGGUUGGGGCUCCUCCAGUUGGUGUCCUGGUACAGAGGACUCCCCGAGGAAGGCCUCGGCGGGAGCGGAGUGGGCUCAGAGGGAGCGGAGGGAUCCACCAGCUGCGGCUCCUGAGAGAGGGAAGGGGAAGAGGAGAUCCGGCGAAGGCAGGUGAGAUUGAACGUCCGGGACAGCAGCACGCCCACCUGCCCCCGCCCCGCCGUCGCCAUCUUCCCCGCCAUUGUCGAGCUCGAGCCCGAGCUCGAUCGACGUCCACUGUUCCCCACUAGGGUUUAGAACGGCGGUCGCCGGGAAAUGGAUACGAGGACCGACUUUUCUCUCUGAUAUUGGUUUUUCGACAUGGUAACUAAAACCUCUCUCUCUCUCUCUCUCUCNNNNNNNNNNNNNNNNNNNNUAACUACUAACUAACCUACUCUCUCUCUCUCUCUCUCUCUCUCUCUCUCUCUCUCGCGACUCUAUGUAUACAACGGUCUUAUAGCUGGGCCGGAGGAGAAAUAAUUAAUAAAUUGCAACCAUUUGAUCAUCUUCAUUCCGGCCCAAAAAGAAAACUGAAGAUUAUUCUACCAUUUUACUCUCCUGAAUUAAAAAAAAAAAUCAAGAAAGCUUCAGUUGCAUUUCGUCUUCAACCAUCCCAAAUAUUUCGUCUACCCUGAGAACGAAGGCAAACACAUUGCAUUAGGAUUCAUAUACUAGGAAAAUAUAAACUGUAAAUCAUUGAACGCUGAAAUAAUUUUUUUAGCAAUUAAUAUAUAUCUGGGAAAUAUUUGAAAGCAACAAAAAAGCUAAAAACCAAUUGCUAGAGUCAAUAACUUCCGCUGUUCAUGUAUGAUUACCUCAUUAUGUCAACAUUCACAUCUGAGAUCCAUGCUGUCAAAUAAACCUGCAAACCAUACGACAUAGCCCAUAAGCAUCCAUUAAAGUGACAAGAGAUCAUCGAUCAAUCAUCCUAGGCUAUUUACAGAAAACUUUAUGCAUUCACAGUAAUAAUCAUUAAAAUCAUUCCUCAUUAUUCGAAAGAAUAAUAUCACCUAGCAUAGAUAGAUGCAGUUUACUCUGCUUGUAUUCAGUUAGUUCAUCCCCAUAUGACCUAAUAGUUUUAAUAUAGUAUUAGAUCAUAUGAAAAACUCCAAAAGUCAGCUCAUAAGUAAUACUGCUGUCGGACUGAUCUCACAUUAUUCAUGAAAACAAAACAAAAACACCAUAAGUAGAUGUGUCAGCUCCACGCACAGCCAAUUACUUUUUAGGUUAAAUGAAGAAGAAUAAUUUUAAUCAUCAUGAUCAAUGACUCUGAAUUAAAUUAUAUGCCACUUAGAGGGGGAGGAAGUCAUACAUGCAAAGUUUCUCGUGUUGGGUUACGGCUGAUCUGCUCCGUUGCAGGGUUAUUAGAUUGGAAACCUCUUAUUCUUGGAGUAAAUGGCUGAAAUCUCUCCCUGCAAAGCAGUUCGACCGUGUUUAAAUCGUUGAACUCUCCCUCAUAAAGCUCUUUCGACCAGUUUCGUUCAUCAGCCUGAGCUCCUUGAGCUUCUUGACAGCCAAUAGACAGCAGCUGUAGAACAAUCAACCGCUGAGCAAGAAACAGAACCCAGAAUUCGUGAGAUGAAAGAAAAAAUUUCCAAAGGGAGACGAAUCUAUUGGGCACAUCCACAAAGAUAUAGAUAUCAGAUGUUCCAAGAAAUGGGUUGGAACUGGUUACCUUUAAGCUUAUCUCUAAUGCAAACAUGUCAAUAAGCUCCUGUGCCAGUUUCUCUGAAAUCGUUUGGAGAUCAACAAAGAUACGAUUAUAUUGUAGAAAUUAAUUGGUACGAAGGAUUAAUUAAAAAAGAGAUUGUCCAAGUACCUGAAUUAUAUCAGAGGAAAUCAAGUAAAAUACAUUCCAUUGAGCAAAGUUAUUCUGAACUCUCUGAUAGCACGAGAUUAGACUAUACGACAAGAUUAGUUGCUACAUGUCAACGGGCCUUAUGGGAAACUGGAUUUUUUUUAUGGACACUGUUUCUAGCCAAGUGAUAUUCCCCCAUGAACCUGGUAUCACUGGAACAGACUGAUCUCGGUGAGGAACUAGAGAAAAACUUCACCAAAGUUUAGGCCUUUUUUGUCGACAUAAUUGGCCCAUCAAAGAAAACAGCAUUGCUCCCUCCAAGUAAUCCAAUCAUACGGAAAAUAUGAAGAGUGAUGCCAUUUUUUUUAAUGGAAAACCAUAUUGGCCAUAAAAUUUGAUACAGGAUGGCCAAAGAAUAGAUAAGCUUACCAAAAUAUGGUAGUGCCCACGAUGCGAAAACUGGAACGCCCCCACCAUCUCCAGGAUCAUCAUUGUCUUGAGAGAGUUGACUGAAUUGUACAAGUGGAGAAGCACUGGGUCCCUUCAGAUAACAUCGCAUGGAGUCACGUGCCUUGGUAAACUGACACACAGCAUCAACCUGCAGAGAACCCAUGAUCGAUAGGGGGAUAAAACAUGAGUUACAGAUUAAUACUCUGGAGCUAUGCAAAAAUAAGAUAAUUACACGUAAAAGAAGGGACUCUUUAAAUAUGUCACCAAGGUAGUUCAAUUUGAAAAUAUCUUGAAUUUGGUUCCAUAAUUGACAUUAAGCAACGUAGGAACUAUCAUAGAGGAGGUUGAUUGUUUACGGUGCUCAGACAAUGAUAAAAAAGGGACUAAACACUUAAACCAGCCUUUUCAAAAACGAUCUGAUAAUACAAGGAUAGGAAGAAUCCUUGAGGGAAAAGUUCAGUGAAAAUAUGGUGAUAACAAAAGGGCUGAAUCAAAAAGAGAAACACUGGUGCUGUACUUAGUAUUACUGGUGGUACAAAGAUUCCAAGGAAAUUAAACGAUAUUAGCAUAUGAAAGGGAACUAUUUGUUGAUGUAUUUAUCGCACUAUCUCAAACAUAGGAUUUUAGCUACACGAAUGGCAUCGGUGUCUCUUCCAAUGCACUCCAGAUGAUCAAUGAUCGAAAUACAUCUAGGCCAAGUCCUGGUAAUAUAUCCAAAUUACGUUGAAGAAUACUGCUUCUGAAAUAGUAUAUAGUUGAGCACGCUUACCAGAUUUUUGUAAGAGGAUAAAAGCUUUCUUUGGCAUAGCUCCUGAAUCAAAAGGAAAGCAUAGAAGAAAAACAUCAUCAAUUAUAGGAAAAGCACCACAUAACAUUUUGCAGAAUGCACAAAAUUAAAGUUCUGGGCGAACAGAAGAGGAUUCUCUUGGGAAUUCGGUAGAGCCCGGCAUCAGUGUAGGAUUAAAUCUUUUUUUCCCAGAAACUAUGGCUUCAGAGAGGAAUCCCUAAGGAAAUAAGUGGAGGGUUAUUGACCUUCACUAAACUACUAUAUUUCAUCCGUUAAUGAUAAUAACUAACCAAAAAAGUGCCUUAUUUUCAGCAGAAUUCAGCUGCAUCUGUAUUAAUGUAUUAAGUUUCAGCUUAUCCUCUUCAGUAAGAUGGAUAUAAACCCCCACACCUUCCAUCAAAUUUUUUUCUCUCUGAAAAAUCAUUACCAGUUCUUCGUGAGUAGAAGUUAAAACUAGAGAACGAACUCUUGGAAAGUACUGUCACUCGUCGUUGUGUACUAUUGAGGCCUUCUUAGAAUGUGGACCUUGCACAGUGAAAUGUUGUGAAUAUCAGAAGAACCGUUAUUGAAGCCAUCGAGUCCUCCAUAAUCAGGCAGGAAUUUCCGUCGUCAUUUCUACGGAAAUGAGACCUUAUUCUCCUACAAGGCCAUCUAAACUAUUGGCCAGAGAGCCACGCCGGAAACAAUCAUCGUUGAGUGAUAAUACCAAACACCAGGAACGCAUACAACACACACGUUUCCUCGCGAGCCCAUUGUUCAUUUUUAAUAAAUUAAAUGACGAUAUACUUCUCAAACGCUCCGUGAACGGCUUGAGAUGAAGUAGAGAUACCUGCUUCCGCGUCAACUUCUCGCAAGCCUUCUCCCGAAUCAUGGGCAUGUCCUUAAGCACGCCCAAAUUCAUCUCCGGCAUGUACCUGAAGUAAACAAAAAAAUUAUCGUCCACAAAGGGGCUCCUUCUCCCAGAUAUGUCCAACGAAAUUAAACAAACAAAAUGUACGAGUAAAACUUUGUGAUUCUUCCUCGAACUCGAUACUUGCCUCCGAGAAAGAUAGGCGUUGACGAGCCCAGUCGCGCUAGCCCUCCCCUCUGAGGACGCCGACACCCACCGCCCCCUGCAAGAGACCAGCCUCGACCACUGGUUCCUCAUAUUCCGUUGAGCCGCAGGCCUCCAUAGCCGCGACGUCGUCGGAGACUGAGAGCCGGCUACCAAGCUGGUGCCAGAAGAAACGACAGGUGUUCGAGCUUCCGGCUCUUCCACGCCGGAAUGGGAAACCGGAGGCUCCAUCGCUGCACCGCCGGGAAGAAGACGGCCCCGAGGAUGUUCCCCUACGCAACGAUCCUUUCACGGUUCGCCGAACGCCGACCGCGAGAUAAAAUACUCCGCGGAGCAUGAUAGAGGAGAGAGAGAGAGAGAGAGCAGAGAGAGCAUAGAGAGCAGAGAGAGAAAAACUGCUUAAUGGGCCGACCUUAUUAUUUACUGCGGUCCGACUACUGAGGUGGGUCGUGGUCUGGGAAUUUGGAAUUUAUUAUAUAAGUCCCUUAAAAGUAAACAUUUGCAAUCCAGAGAUACAUUACCAAAUUAUAUUUUGAUAUAUGAAUUAAAAGGUUGCACGAUUAAUUGUUCGAUAAUAACAAAAAAAAUGACACCGACGAUAAAUUUUAUUCGAUAAUUCAUUUUUAUUUUUAUCAAAUAUCCUCGUUAUUUUCUUCUCUCUUUUUUCGUCCGAUGGAACUUUGAAAACGUGAAUAUACUUCGGAUCACGGUAAGUCGUUCCUAGCGUGAGGCCCAGUUACCAUCGCCACAACCGUCCGCUGCCGCCUUUCUCCGUCUGGUCCGCGUCGAAUCGCCCCGUCAGUCCGAACCAUUUGGACCGCCUGGUCCGCGCCAGCCGCCUCGUCUGGUUCGAGUCAGGUUAGGUCAACUGGUCAAUGAUCAAUUGACCCCGUCAAUUGUCAACGAAGAUCAACUAUACAUAAGUGGGUCCAGCUUCAACCUCCGCUCGCACACCACUCCGUCGGGUAUUCUAGCGACAAGGUUCUCCCUAAAUCCCUUUAUUUCCAUAUUACAUCAUCUUUGUUCGUUUAAUAUUUUAUCUUACAAUAUUGACGUCGCGUGCUCCAUGAAUAUGUCCAACCAUUUUCGUGGUUGAUAGUUCGUGAGCAAUGAAAGCCCACUUGAUUUACAUCUAAUCGAUUUAUUAAUUAACGAAGAACCUUAAUCACUUGGUGAUUUCUUAAUCGCAGCGAUCUAUUCGUUUUAAAUCUUAUAAGAUUAAACACCAUCUUAUCUACGGCAACAUAGUUAUUUCAUCUCUCGUCAUGCAUAAAAAACCACAAUUGAUCUAGAAAAUUACACUGGAGUGAAGAAACUAUUUCUCUCUCUAUGUCUGGCUAUACAUACAUAUAUCUCUCUAACUAUCUAUCGGAGUAGAUUCGUAGAGUUCUACCAAAACCAGCAGGAUGUCGACACAAGUCUUCAGCUGGACGAUGUACUUGGCCGUCUCCUCGAACAGACGAUCCGCCGCCGGGUCCUCGGCCGCGUUGGCGCCGCCGCAGGAGGGCAUCAGCUCGCUCAACGCGCGCAGCCUCUGGGCGACCGCCUCGUCCUCAGGGACGUCCCACGGCCGGCGGCAGCGCCGCCGCCGCCGCUCCGCCUUCUUCCCCGCGCUCGCUCUUCCCUUCAUGCCGUUGCAGCCACCUCGUCGCUCUUGCGAUGGCCCGUCAGAAGUAGGAGUGGGAGCGGAAGAGGAGAAGUCCGCCGCGUUGUGGUGGCUCGCGCUCGGCCAAGCGGGUGUCAGGUUCUUCCUCUCGCGAGGGCCGCGCCGUCCUCCGCAGAUGGCGGCCGGCCCCGCGCUUUUUGACCGGAGCCGGCGCGCGGCCGGCGCGCGGGGGGCAGAGCGGGCCAGCAGCGCCGCGGCACGCCGGCGGGGCGACAAGCGGCGUGCGAUGUGAAUGAGGGCCGGCAGAGGCGGCGGCUCCUAGCCAACGGAAGCGCUUUUGCGACCUCGAGGGCACGUGGGAAUACCACGUAGCACCCAACCAGCACCGACGGGGCAGACGUGCCAUACUUGUCCGCGGUUCGCACAUGCCCCCCCUCGACACAACACAGAGUCUCUCUCUCUCUCCCACGGCCCUACGAAGCGAGCAAGUAAAAUAAUAUAAUUUGUCAUUUUAUAAGAAAGCGGUGGGAUUUAGGAAUAAAACAUAGAUAUUUAAAUAUAUUUGUAUAUUUAAAUAUAUAUAUUUAAAUAAUAAAUGACUUUUAUUACGUUAAAAACGAGGAAAUUUUGCGUGAGGGGUUCUAAACCAAAAUAUCUUACAACCUGAGCCUAAUUGGGCCUAAUUAAAUGGGCUUAUUUUUAUAGGCCCAAUAAAUAAUUGGGCUGGCCCCGGCCCAUGUUUAGCUGAAGACUGACGACCCACGUCGGAGCCGGGCGACGCCAAAUGGAUAUCCCAUCCGUCCGUCUUCUUCCGGGCAUUAUGCGCCCGGUGUGGGUCCCGGUUCCGCGGUGGUUAUCCGAGCCCGACGAAGAUCCGAAUCGGUGUAAGCGGGCCCAUUGUUUCAACGGCUGAGAUAUACUGGGAUUAUCAUUCGGACGGGGAUGCCUGUGGGGACCUCGUCGCAGGCGUGUUUUUUUCUCCUCUUUCGCCGUCCCCGUUCCAUCAGCCCCGCCGAUGGAAGCAGCCGGUUUUUCUUCUUCUCCUCCUCCGCCGGUUCUUUCUGGUCUCUUUCCCGGGAUGUCGACGUUGAUUCCGUGUCCGGCGCGGACCAGCGGGCGAGUUUAAUUGUUCGUUCCCUCUGUCUCCUGCUCGUUGUCGUGUGAUAUCCAAGUGGCUGAUCACAUAGGCUAUGCUGGUUGAUGGGGGCGAUCGCCGUGGCGAUUUGAGGAAGUUGGUGGGUUUCCCUCUAAUUUGGGCGUGAAUUUUCCCCUCUUCGUCAAUCAUUGUUGGUUGGGAGAGUCGUUCGUUCUGUUUUCUGUCGCUUCGAAUCGGUAUUUUUCGUCGCCGGAAAUCGUCAAAUUCGUCUAUAAUUCUAGUUUAAUCGUCUGUAUACGAGAAUCACGGGUUCUUCCGUAUAUUUCUCCAUGUCAGGGGGCGGGAUAUUUGUCUUGUUCAUCGGAGCAACUAGACGACGACCUUGUUUAAACGACUAGUUUCCUUGUUUUUAGAGAUUUAUUAGGUUAUUAUGAUUCGGCAAUUUCGUUAUCUUUCACGUGGAUAAAUUGCCAUGUAUGUUCCGGGUGUAUUCAGAGAGCUGUGUGGCCUAAUCACUCUCUUAUUGGAUAAACUUAACGUCGCCCAAUUAUGUAAGCGGUUUCCCGUUUAACUCCAGUUGUAGUAUGGUUUCAGGGUAGUCAUCUCAAGGGGUUUAAUUUCUGAUGAUCAUGUAGGCGUCGUCUCGUACAAGAGAAUGAUGUUCCUUUCUUCUCUCUCUAUUUGGGUAGACGUUUUUUUACUCUGUCUCAGUUCGCACCAGUGCUAUUACAAUGACAGAGCCAGUAGGUCGGUCUAAGUAGUUCGAACCAAGUGUUCCCAGCCUGGGAAAAGAACUCUUUUCUAUCGAAGAGGAAAAUAAAACUGAUAGCUCCUCUCUUAAAUAUAUAAGUCGGGACGGACUGAAUGUUUUAAAAGGCACGUUGUGUGAGCAUAUUUCAAAAUUGUGCACCGAUUGUUCUAGUUUCCCUAUUGAUAGGGCUGUAAGUGGGUUAUAGUCUGCUAGCUCCUGAUUUCAGUUUAGUUAAUGGCUCACUAUCUCUGAGCUCGUCAUUAAAAUAAGCAUCGAUUCUGUGAUCUCAGCAUUGUUUUCAUUUUUUAAUGGUUACGAAGCUCGGGCAUGAUUCGAUCCUUUAUCUGUUACCAAUUGGAAGGAAAGCACGCCACGCAUUGGACAUUGAAAGAAGUGAAACUUCCAAUAUCCAGGUGAAAUGUGAUGUGGGGAAGUUUUAUUUCAAUAUACCCGCAUGGCGAUGAAAUUUAUCCUUGGAGAUGACCAGUAAAAUUUCAAAACAUAGAUAACAUCAUUACAUUUUGAGGUGUUUUUUCAAUUGAUCAAGUAGUUCUCGGAUGGUUUCUAUUUCCACUUUUGGGUUCAUCAUCCACCUUCGAAGAGAAAGAUAAGAAGAACAGGGGUUAAUUUUUCGUUCUCUUUGGAACCAUAUGAUGAAAACUUGCAGAAUAUUUGAAAUCAGAAUGUUUGGUCGUCAUGGAAUGUUUCCUUCCUAUCGUUGCUAGCGCACAUUAUCCUUCCUAUCAUUGACUUUUUAUAACCGUGCUUUUGCAUUUGUGUUAUCAAGCUCAUGCUGUUAAGCAAUUUAGUGCUUCAAUGUCCUUUAAACCCGUGGCUUGCAUGUGCCGAUUAAAAAUGUGCGAACCUUUAUGCUAAUUAAAGCUAACCUACCUGCAUCCUGGAUAUUUUUAGAAAUGCCAUGGUUAGAUUGAAUGGUAGGAGUUGGAUGUUGAUCCCCCGUUUGGAUCACCAUUCUGUGUGAAUUUUCUGGUCAAUGUUACCUGCUUAAUGCACGGAGGACCAGGAUAGCCAAUUGUCAACCGAGGUUUGGUGUUUCCAUCUUUUCUAUGAAUGUGUGUGAAGAAAGUUGGUAAGAUGGCAGGAUUUAUCGGGUUAAUCGCCUGAUAUUUUCUCGUCCAUGCCGAAAUUAUUAUUUUUCACUGAAAAUUUGUCAGAUCUAUCUCCGUGUUCAUCGGUGCUUCUUCCCUUGGGAACUCUUCUACAAGUCAUUCUUUUAACGUGGACUCAUCCACGGUUAUUGACUCUAUGGUGCUAGCGAGAUCAAUAUUUCUAUGCUGAUCAUUCUUUUACGGAGACGUGGCUCUAAGGCUUUAUCACCACAUCGUGCUGCAAACGUAGCAUGAUCCCGCCGCCAGUAACCAUUUGCUGUUUCACUUCUCGUGAUAUUGAGACUCGACCACACAUGGUUUCAGACCAUGCUGAUUAAUUGCAUUGUCGUAGAAAAUUGGCUUUAUUUUAACAUCCAGUUGCAGAAAUUGAAUCAGAUCUUUGGGCUUCCAGUGGGGUGUGUAAAGAUGAUCCUUCAUUGCUACUUGUUCUAAAUUUAUUUGUACGUGGCAUCGAGUUUCGAGUAAAUAAUGGAUGAUGGUCUAGCUUUAUUGUGCGAGUUCUGAACCAAUCCAUCUCAUCUGGAUUUUUCGAAAAUAUUUUAUCUAUUUAAUUUUUCGGGGAAUCAAAUGCAGCUCUUCCUGAUUACACAUGCCUAUCAAAAUUGCAUUUUUUUUUCUUUCAGGAAGGUUCUUGAUUUCUGAACUUCAGUUCCGCUCACUGCAACGAGGUUUCACCUGGUUCUUAGCGACCAAUGUGCGAGAAUGACCAAGGACUGGACGAUCGGUGAGGUUCUGAAGGUGGUGUUUCCUCUUCUCGAUGGCCCUGACCUCGCUUCCUGCAUGCUGGUAUGCCGUCAAUGGCGGGACAUCGCCAGGGACGAUUACUUCUGGAAAUGUCUGUGCGCGAAGAAAUGGCCUUCCGUCUGCAAGAGACGGCCGGCUUCCACAAUGAGCUACCACAAGUUCUUCCAGACCUUCUCGAGGGGCCGCCCGUGCCAGCCUCUUCCUCCCCCAAAGCUCUCCUUCAAAGACCUGGAGUUUUACAUCGACAUCUGGUCCGAGCGGCGACUGAUCUUCUCCGAGGCGGUCCCUGGUUCGGUGCUCCGCGCAGGGAUAAAAUCCCCCCCGUUGGGGAUCUCCGACAGCAUGAAGACCUACCUCGAAGGACCCAACUACAAGAUGAUGAUGCCGGUGGAGCCGCAGUUCACCGUGCCGAGGGAAGAUCCGGUGAGCGUCUCCGUCCUGGUCGGCCGCAGCGACAGCAAGAAGGUGGCCUCCAUCGUCGGCCAGGCCCUGUUCGACUACGUCGACUGGAGCACCUUCAGGGCCCUGGCGUACGAGUUCCUGAAUCUCUCCCCUAACUACCCCUUCGUCUCCGGCGUGAGGGCCUGGGUCUCGCUGCUGUUCAUGGCCGGGGCGGGGGACGACACCGCCCAAGUGUUCGGCGUCGAGAUCGACUUCUGCGACGCCGCGAGCUCCGAGAACGAGGUCCUGUGGCUCCUCGACAUGCUCGACUGGAAAUAAGUCCCCUCUCUCUCUCACUCACUCUCCCCUAACUGUAAAUAAUCAACUCUCUUCUGGGUCUGUCUCUCCUUCAAGAAAAAACUUUGGCCUCUGUUAUUAUCUCUCCUUGCAGAAAUAUUCUGGUGAUCGGCUCCAUCCUCGGUACGUGCUUAAGAAGAUUCAGAGUCUCGACGAAGAUAGAUGGACAUGUAGCUAGCUAGAUAUUUGAUAGAUCGGUAGCCAUGUAUGUAGAUAGGUAGAUAGAUAGAGAUAGAGAUGGAGAGAGAGAGAGAGAGAGAGAGAGAGAGAGAGAGAGAGAUAGAGAUGGAGAGAGAGAGAGAGAGAGUCACAGUCGAGGCAAUGCGAAGUGGGUGAUCUGUGCAUUACCUUAUUAGUGCCAUUAGGUGGUGUAAUUGUUCGUAGGAAAGCAACUGGUAGCGUACUGCAUCGGUAACUCCAUCCAGAAAGUGAUUGCCAUUAGACACGCAAUGAUCGUAUCUCUCUCUCUCUAGAGGCUGCAGGAGCACACCUAGUUUCCCAGACGGAGUCAACGGUCUUGGUGGGGAUAUCUCCUGCUAGAAUGCCGGCGUGUACUACGGCCAAGUUGUGCUGGCAGGAGAGGGAAUAAGAUGAUGGGAAAGGAUAGGGCGUCUGAGGGUGGAAGCUGCGGAAUGUGAAGGCGUGUGAAAGAGAGACUUGUUCGCUUCACACGACAGAUUUCCCAGCGAGGGCGCUUUGUUUCACUGUUCGUCCUCUCUUUCUCUCUCUCUCUCUAGAGACUCCACGCCAGGUUCCGCCUCCCGUUAUAAUCUUUUUCUCCCCUCGUUGGAUCUCUCUUCUUCCCUUCCACUCAACCCCGAACUUCUCUCUCAUCAUUCUCUCUACAUAUGCCCUCCGACCCUUCAUUCCCUCUCUGCUUCGGAGAAGCUUGGGUGGCCAUGGCGGUGAGGACGGCCUUCUUUGUCCUCCCUCUUCUUGCUUUUCUGAUCCAGGGAUGUCUGUCGGCGGAUCCCGUCCUGAACAGGGGCAGCUUCCCUAAGGGCUUCGUCUUCGGCACCGCAUCUUCGGCGUACCAGGUGGGUUGCCCUCCCUUCUUCUUCCUCCUCUCUGCGCCUCUCCAUUUCUAUCCCUCCUCUCCACCCACAAAGCAUCAGCACCAUUAAAAAAACCUCAACACCUUCGGGGUUCCAGAGGAGAGAGACGUAGCCCAUCUGCUACUUGUUGCUUGGCGUCGCCUCCGCUCCUCCUGGUCUCCCUCGGAAUCCCCACAAUGCUGUCUUCUAGCGUGUGCGGCCCCUGCUGGCUCCAGUUCUCCGUGACUCCAUGCGAUGUACUCACUGCUUUUCUCUUUCUUACGAUCUCUCCUCACAGUACGAAGGGGCGGUUAAGGAAGACGGGAGAGGCCCUUCCGUCUGGGACAAAUACGCCCAUACCUUCGGUAACUAAGCUUCUCCUCUGACCUUACUCCUUUGACGCCUCGUGGGCUUGACACCUACUCUCUCUCUCUCUCUCUCUCUCCCUCCCCUGUGCNNNNNNNNNNNNNNNNNNNNNNNNNNNNNNNNNNNNNNNNNNNNNNNNNNNNNNNNNNNNNNNNNNNNNNNNNNNNNNNNNNNNNNNNNNNNNNNNNNNNNNNNNNNNNNNNNNNNNNNNNNNNNNNNNNNNNNNNNNNNNNNNNNNNNNNNNNNNNNNNNNNNNNNNNNNNNNNNNNNNNNNNNNNNNNNNNNNNNNNNNNNNNNNNNNNNNNNNNNNNNNNNNNNNNNNNNNNNNNNNNNNNNNNNNNNNNNNNNNNNNNNNNNNNNNNNNNNNNNNNNNNNNNUCUCUCUCUCUCUCUCUCUCUCUCCCCCCUGUGCUGGUAGGCAAGGUAAUUGACUUUAGCAACGCCGACGUCGCGGUGGACCAGUACCAUCGCUUCGAAGUAAGAACCCUAACCCUAACGCAGUUAGACGACCUGCUUCGACUUUCACCCCCUUCUUGCCCUCUCGCCUUGAACGGGAUUUCCUCGGCAGGAAGACAUCCAGCUCAUGGCGAACAUGGGGAUGGACGCCUACCGGUUCUCCAUCUCGUGGUCUCGUAUCUACCCGAGUAAGCUCGCUGGACGGCUUCCGCAGAGUCAACACCCAGCCGUUCUUUUCUUCAAUUAAUGAGCCUAAAAGUUCACUCUUGUGUAGAUGGGACCGGUGCGGUCAACCAGGGGGGGGUUAACUACUACAACAAACUCAUCAACGCUCUACUUGCCAAAGGUUAGACCGGUGGAUAUUAAUUAGUUCACGCCGCUGUCGGGGAGGCCCUGACUUGUCAACGGGUACCUCAGGAAUACAGCCAUACGUGACCCUCUACCACUGGGACCUUCCUCUGGCGUUAGAAGACAAAUACGGAGGCUGGCUCGACCGUCAGAUCAUGUAAAUAUCACUUCACAGAGAUCAUGGACCGUGGAUUAUAUUAACUAUCUCACCUGCGUCAUAUGUAUAUCAAUUGCAGAAGCGACUUUGCGAAUUACGCGGAUACGUGCUUCAGGGAGUUCGGCGACAGGGUGAAGCACUGGAUAACGUUCAACGAGCCCCACACCUUCUCGAUACAGGGCUACGACGUCGGCCUCCACGCCCCUGGGCGCUGCUCCAUCCUCCUCCGUCUCUUCUGCAGGGGUGGGAACUCAGCGACCGAGCCCUACAUCGUCGCACACAACGUGCUCCUCUCUCAUGCAGCAGUCGCAGACAUCUACAGAACCAAGUACAAGGUGAGAGAAAAAAAUAAUAUGCACACACACACACACACACAGCGAGAGAGAGAGAGAGAGAGAGAGAGAUUGCCGAACAUGGGUCAAUCCUAUUUUUAUCCAUACUAAAUCUCAUUUUAUCAAUUGUUCUAUGGUGAUAGUGUUCAUGCAUCUAUACUCUUUCUUUCUCUAUCUAAAUAACAAUAAUUUACUCGGUAUCUCUUAUCAAUGGAUUACAGUAUGACUUUGGGUUGCAUCACUAUCAUCCGUUGGAGAAACUAAAACGAACGUACCCUUGUCCAGGCAACACAGCACGGAUCUCUUGGGAUAGCAUUCGAUGUGAUGUGGUACGUGCCUUCCUCAAAUACACCGGAGGACAUCGAGGCAACUCAGAGGGCCCAAGAUUUUCAACUCGGAUGGUGAUUCAACUCCACUCCUGCAUCACCCUUUUUGGCAGUUUUUCUCAUUGAUCAUGUUCUUCCCCAUCCCUGCCAUUCAAAUGCUGCCUGGGAUCCAUCUCCGUGCAUAGUAAUUUUUCAGCGCGCAGGUUCAUGGAUCCGCUCUUCUUCGGGGAAUAUCCGAGCUCAAUGCGGACAAGGGUGGGCAACAGGCUGCCCAAGUUCAGCCCCCAGGAAGCUGCCUCCGUCAAGGGUUCUCUGGAUUUCGUGGGAAUAAACUACUACACGACGUACUAUGCGAUGAACGACAAGAGGAAGAUCGUCGGCCUUCUUCUCAACGAUUCCUUGGCAGAUUCGGGGGCCAUCACCGUGCGUAAGUGCCGCCUCCCUGGUCUCCGACUCCGCUUGGGAUCCCCCCCUGCUGAUCCUUCUUCUUCUCUGCGGCGUUGCAGCCUUCAAGAAUGGAAGGCCCAUCGGAGACAAGGUAUCCUCCCCCGCUCUAGGCCUCAAAGAUGCAUGCUUUGUGCGAGAAAAUGGCGUAAGCUUAUCGACCCGGUUCCUCUCGGAUGUAGGCUUCCGCCAUAUGGUUGUACAUAGCGCCGGAAGGACUGAGAAGCUUGAUGAACUACGUCACGAGCAGAUAUGGCAGCCCGCCUAUCUUCAUCACGGAGAAUGGUAGCUGCCUCCCUCCCUCUCUCUCUCUCUCUUUCUCUCUCUC
rnacentral:lncRNA from 1 species